rnacentral:rRNA from 1 species
UGGGGAAUAUUGCACAAUGGGGGAAACCCUGAUGCAGCGACGCCGCGUGAAGGAUGAAGUAUUUCGGUAUGUAAACUUCUAUCAGCAGGGAAGAAGAUGACGGUACCUGACUAAGAAGCCCCGGCUAACUACGUGCCAGCAGCCGCGGUAAUACGUAGGGGGCAAGCGUUAUCCGGAUUUACUGGGUGUAAAGGGAGCGUAGACGGUGAUGCAAGCCAGAUGUGAAAGCCCGGGGCUCAACCCCGGGACUGCAUUUGGAACUGCGUGGCUGGAGUGUCGGAGAGGCAGGCGGAAUUCCUAGUGUAGCGGUGAAAUGCGUAGAUAUUAGGAGGAACACCAGUGGCGAAGGCGACUUUCUGGACAGUAACUGACGUUGAGGCACGAAAGUGUGGGGAGCAAACAGGAUUAGAUACCC